GCUAGAUGGUUAUAUCGAUUAGUAUAAAAAUUAUUCUUGUACUACUGACUUAGGUUCAAACCUAUGGGAUCACCCAUAUAGAAGUACCUAUCUGAUCAAAUGGCUGAUCGAUGAUUAUGAAUCAUUAAAAAAAUUAAUUAUUAAUGUGAUUGAUGAUUAACCCUAUACAAAGGUUGUAAUAAAUUAUUUACUAAUGAUUGAUAAAUAAAAAAAAUAAUUAAUUAAUAAUUUAAUUAUUAAUUAAUCUAAUUUGAUUGAGUAAUGG
rnacentral:lncRNA from 1 species